rnacentral:rRNA from 1 species
GACGAACGCUGGCGACGUGCUUAACACAUGCAAGUCGAACGCUGAAGCACCAGCUUGCUGGUGUGGAUGAGUGGCGAACGGGUGAGUAAUACGUGAGUAACCUGCCCUUGACUCUGGGAUAAGCCCGGGAAACUGGGUCUAAUACUGGAUGCUACAUGUCACCGCAUGGUGGUGUGUGGAAAGGGUUUACUGGUCUUGGAUGGGCUCACGGCCUAUCAGCUUGUUGGUGAGGUAAUGGCUCACCAAGGCGACGACGGGUAGCCGGCCUGAGAGGGUGACCGGCCACACUGGGACUGAGACACGGCCCAGACUCCUACGGGAGGCAGCAGUGGGGAAUAUUGCACAAUGGGCGAAAGCCUGAUGCAGCGACGCCGCGUGAGGGAUGACGGCCUUCGGGUUGUAAACCUCUUUCAGCAGGGAAGAAGCCACAAGUGACGGUACCUGCAGAAGAAGCGCCGGCUAACUACGUG